UUGACUUAUUAAAAUAAGACGCUCAGAUUACUAUAAAAUAACAAGAGUUUAAAGGUCCACCGGCAGUACGUUACAGGGUAGCCCGCUCCAGGGUAGCUACAGGGUAGCCGCUCCAGGGUAGGUACCGGGUAGGUUCUGCCGAGGCAACAAAUGGUAAGUUCACAUGGGUUUGGGAGUUAGAUAACUCUGUAAUGAUCCCUCCGCUGGUUCACCAACGGAGA
rnacentral:misc_RNA from 1 species